GAUGUUUUCUUUUUUCUCAAAAUGUAAUUACUAAGUAUUCAAUUUUUUAAAGUUCUUUUAAAAAGGGGUGACAAAAGAAAGAGGGAGGAAAAUGGGUAAUGUGUAUUUUGUCUCACGUAAUAAAGAUUUGUAAAUAAUUUAAUUGGACAAUGGAAGACUAAGUCCUGUUUGUAACAUUUUGAACGGGACCCAUUUGAAAGCUUUGUUACAGUUGUAAUUUGUAGUGUGUAUAUGUUUGCAAGUAGAGUGUGUGUACAUUUAAUUGGUAUUACGUAUUGAAUGUUUCUUACACGCCUUCAGUAGGCUGAUUCUCGUUGUGUUUAUAAAUUAAUGUUGUCAAAAUCUUUAUAUUAGUAAUUGCUAUAUAAGUAUUGGGCAAGCUAGUGGAUGUCAUAUAUCUCUCUCUACUUGUGCAAAAUCAUUAUGGUUCAGAUUUAUGUAGGGAAGAGUUUUAUUUGAAGAGAAGGAUCUGGAUGUGUAGUUGAACUUACUUUUUGGGUUUUCCUAGAGAUGGUGUAGGAAAAUCUUGAUUCUUUUGAGUUGUUGCUGUAUCUCAUCAGGGUUUAGUUUCAGGGUUUGGUGGUCAUUGAGUAGUCUUUUAGCAUUAGCUUUAACAAUAUGUCUUCAAGAUCCUUCAAAGCCUCAGAUUCCCAACAGGGUAAGCCUCCUGGUGUUACCUUUGCAAGGAGGACCUCGUCGGGUCGGUAUGUGAACUUAUCAAGGGAAUCCCUGGAUAGUGAGAUUAGUGGCAUUGAAUUUGCAAACUACACAGUGCAUAUCCCUCCAACCCCUGAUAAUCAACCUAUGGAUCCUUCAAUUUCACAGAGGGUUGAAGAGCAGUAUGUGUCAAAUUCCUUGUUUACCGGAGGUUAUAACAGUGUGACUCGUGCUCACUUGAUGGAUAAGGUGAUUGAGUCAGAAACUAACCAUCCUCAGAUGGCUGGUGCUAAAGGUUCUUCUUGUGCUAUACCUGGUUGUGAUGGGAAAGUCAUGAGUGAUGAGAGGGGUGAAGAUAUUCUUCCUUGUGAGUGUGAUUUUAAAAUUUGCCGGGAUUGUUACAUUGAUGCNGGGGGAUCGAAUCUGUUAUGUUCAGUUUCCUCAACGUUUUGAGGGAAUUGAUCCUUCCGACCGUUAUGCAAAUCACAAUACUGUUUUCUUUGAUGUCAACAUGCGUGCCCUUGAUGGACUUCAAGGUCCAAUGUAUGUUGGGACCGGUUGCCUCUUCCGCAGGACUGCUCUUUAUGGUUUUGACCCCCCACGAACCAAGGAAUACCACCCUGGUUGCUGCAGCUGUUGUUUUGGUCGGCGCAAGAAUAAUGCCACUGUGUCUUCUGUCUCUGAUGACAACAAGGCACUUAGAAUGGGGGAUUUUGAUGAUGAGGAGAUGAAUCUUGCUUCGUUUCCUAAAAGGUUUGGUAAUUCAAGUUUCCUUAUUGAUUCGAUUCCGGUCGCCGAAUUCCAAGGGAGACCACUUGCUGAUCACCCUGCAGUAAAGAAUGGACGACCACCUGGUGCUUUAACUAUUCCACGGGAACUUCUUGAUGCCUCCACUGUUGCUGAAGCGAUCAGUGUCAUUUCGUGUUGGUAUGAAGACAAAACUGAAUGGGGUAAUAGAGUUGGAUGGAUUUAUGGAUCUGUUACUGAAGACGUGGUGACGGGGUAUAGGAUGCAUAAUAGGGGUUGGAGAUCUAUUUACUGUGUGACAAAGCGAGAUGCAUUCCGUGGUACUGCACCAAUCAAUCUGACCGACAGGCUUCACCAAGUGCUCCGAUGGGCCACUGGUUCUGUUGAAAUCUUCUUCUCUCGCAACAAUGCUUUUUUGGCUAGUCCUAAGAUGAAAAUUUUGCAGCGGAUUGCCUACCUCAACUGUGGCAUCUACCCCUUCACCUCAAUAUUCCUAAUUGUUUACUGCUUCCUCCCAGCACUUUCGCUUUUCUCUGGUCAGUUCAUCGUCCAGACCCUGAAUGUCACCUUCCUCACAUAUCUUCUCGUGAUCACAUUGACUCUUUGCGCGCUCGCGGUGCUUGAGAUCAAGUGGUCUGGCAUUGCUUUGGAAGAGUGGUGGCGUAAUGAGCAAUUUUGGUUGAUUGGUGGCACUAGUGCCCAUCUUGCUGCUGUGCUUCAGGGGCUUCUAAAAGUGAUUGCUGGCAUUGAGAUUUCAUUUACACUGACAUCAAAAUCAUCCGCUGAUGAUGAUGAUGAAUUUGCUGACCUCUAUAUUAUCAAAUGGACUUCCCUGAUGGUCCCACCUAUUACGAUCAUGAUUACUAACUUGAUCGCAAUAGCUGUUGGUUUUAGCCGGACAAUAUAUAGCACGAUACCACAAUGGAGCCGUUUGCUAGGAGGGGUUUUCUUCAGUUUCUGGGUGCUAGCUCAUCUCUAUCCUUUUUCAAAGGGAUUGAUGGGAAGGCGUGGAAGGACGCCAACUAUUGUAUUUGUCUGGUCAGGACUUAUUGCCAUCACUAUUUCGCUCCUUUGGGUUGCAAUCAACCCCCCUGCUGGUAGCACUGAAAUUGGAGGGUCAUUCCAGUUCCCUUGAUUUUUCUAACAGGCAUAGUCCAAUUAGCUCCUCCACAAUCCAUUCAGAUUAUUCUUUAGUUUCAUCUUUUUUUUUUCUGUAACAGAAUAUGGAAGUGUUGUGUGGAUCACUAUUGUCCUUGAGUUUUUGUUUAUGAUUCUAUGUUCAUAGAGAGGCAAAACGUACAAUACAUUGUUUGUAAUCACAGCCUCAAGAUAGAUAGUAAAGUUAGAUUAUUUUGAUAAUGCUUAGCACCGUUUUUGUUCCUGUGAA